rnacentral:lncRNA from 1 species
AGGACACAGAGGAGGAGGAAGAAGCAGAAAAGUGGAGCAGAAGCACAUGGUCUGGAGAAACUGCCAGUUCGAAGGAGUGUACUGGGCCCAAGAAGCUCUCCUCUGAGAUAGCUGCCAUAGAGAAGAUCGGAGGACCUGGUUCCUAGAUAAUUCCGGAAGUGACAUCCUGAGUCACCUCUCCAUACCAUAGAGCUGGAAGGGGUUGCUGUCAGGGGUCCAGGAACUCCUCUGCCUAGAAAGGAAAGCUAGCAAUGACCAACUGGGAGGGGGACAAGAGCAUGUGGCUGGAAUGGAAGUGGCCACGAAGGUCACAUCUGGCCUGGUGUCCUCACCUCCUGACACAGGGGUCUGAGAAUCUCCUGUGAUCCCUGCCAGCAUCCACGAGGCAGGCAAGAGAAAGAGUGCUUUGUGAAGGCCCUGAAGCAGAAGACAGAGACAGAAGUGGAACUUCACGAAGAAGCUUGAUCCCAGGGCCACUGGAGUCUGAGGUCCAGUGGAUGGAGAGCCACGAUAAUCCAGGU